GCCCUUCCUCUAGUGUCAAUCUGUUGGUGCGAGAAUUCAUUUGGCGAUGGGAUGCUGGAGCUGAUGGUAAGGCAGGCCUCUCGAGGGUGCGACCUACACAAAAAUCUUAAUCGGAGAUGGCUUCGGUGAGGAUCCUCUGAUGCUUAAGUCAGAACUCUCGUUCAACAGAAGGAGGAGAGUGAGAGGCAAAAUAAUGGCAUACC
rnacentral:lncRNA from 1 species